UGAGGCGUUGAGUUGCAGUUAUUUUCUCUGUCUGAAACUCUGACAGACUGUUGCACAGAGAGAAGCGGGAGCUGACUGAAGCUAGGCAGGAUGCAGGCUAUCAAAUGUGUUGUUGUGGGAGAUGGAGCUGUGGGGAAAACAUGUCUUCUCAUCAGCUACACAACCAACGCUUUCCCUGGAGAAUAUAUCCCUACUGUCUUUGAUAACUACUCAGCCAAUGUGAUGGUGGACAGUAAGCCAGUCAACCUCGGUCUCUGGGAUACAGCAGGACAGGAGGACUAUGACAGACUGAGACCACUGUCCUACCCACAGACGGAUGUGUUCCUCAUCUGUUUCUCUCUGGUGAGCCCAGCCUCCUACGAGAACGUCAGAGCCAAGGUGAUCCUCUCUAGAUUCUACCUGUAUCUAUCACAUUCAGG